rnacentral:ncRNA from 1 species
GGGGCAGCAGCGUCGGGUAUCCGAAAGGACCCGGUGGCUUCGCAUGAAUGGCCAUAGCAACGCGCAACGCUGCCCCAU